AUGGCGGCCUCUGCAAAGAUCGCCACGGAGUUUCUCAAGGAUCCACUGAUCUGGUUGUUCCUCGCCUCGCUGGCUUUCGUCAUUCUGCAGAGGCGGCGGCUGGGCAGCGCGCCAUUUCCUCCGGGUCCGAAGCCGCUGCCAGUCAUCGGCAACAUGACGUUAGUGGACCAGCUGACCCACCGCGGCCUAGCGGCGCUAGCGAAGCACUACGGCGGGCUGCUGCACCUUCGCCUCGGCAGGCUCCACGUCUUCGCGGUGUCGACGCCGGAGUACGCGCGCGAGGUGCUGCACGUGCAGGACGCCGCCUUCUCGAACCGCCCGGCCACCAUCGCCGUCGUCUACCUCACCUACGGCCGCUCCGACAUGGCGUUCGCGCACAACGGCGCCUACUGGCGCCAGAUGCGCAAGCUCUGCGUCACCAAGAUCUUCAGCCGCCGCCGCGCCGAGACGUGGCUCGCCGUGCGCGACGGGUACGGGGCGCUGGCCCGCGCCGUCGGCAGGCGCAGCGGCGAGGCCGUCAACCUCGGCGAGCUCAUCUUCAACCUCACCGUCGGUGUCAUCUUCCGCGCCGCCUUCAGCACCCGCGACGAGGAUGGGCUCGACGAGUUCAUCGCCAUCCUCCAGGAGUUCUCCAGCCUCCUAGGAUUGUUCCACAUCGGUGACUUCUUCCCGUGGCUCGGCUGGGUGGGCCGGCGGGGCUUCAACCGCCGCCUCCGCACGGGGCGCGGCGCUCUCGAUAAAUUUAUCGACAGGAUCAUCGACGAGCACAUGAGGAGGGGCAAGAACGCCGCCGACCCCGACGCCGACUUGGUAGACGGCCUGCUCGCGUUUCUCGCCGAGGCAAACCCAAUCAGCGGGAAGCACAGAGAGGACGCCCUCCGCUUCACCCGCGAUAACGUCAGGGCCAUGAUUAUGGACAUGUUGUUUGGUGGGCCAGAGACAGUGGGGUCCAUGACCGAGUGGGCGAUGGCAGAGAUGAUGCGUAGCCCAGACGACCUACGACGGCUGCAGCAGGAGCUCGCCAAUGUGCUGGGGCUCGACCGUACCGUGGAUGAGCCCGACCUCGACAAGCUCCCUUUCCUCAGAUGUGUCGUCAAGGAGACGCUCCGCAUGCACCCGCCCAUCCCACUGCUCCUCCACGAGUCUGCUAAAGACUGCGUCGUCGGUGGCUACUUUGUGCCCAAAGGCUCCCGCGUGUUGGUGAAUGCAUGGGCGAUCAACCGUGACCCCGGGGCCUGGAAGGACGGCGACACGUUCCGACCUUCGCGGUUCAUGCCCGGCGAGCGAGAGGCCGCCGGGCUGGACCUCAAGGGUGGCUGCUACGAGUUCUUGCCGUUUGGGUCCGGACGGCGCUCCUGCCCUGCGCAGGGGCUUGGCCAACAUGCGGUGGAGUUCGCUGUCGCGCAGCUCGCGCACGGAUUCAACUGGGAGCUGCCCGAUGGCAUGAAGCCCGCGGAGCUUGACAUGGGUGACAUCUUUGGCCUCACCGCAUUACGUGCCACGCGGCUCUACGCCGUGCCACCACACCACGCCUCACAUGCCCCAUGUAAGUAUUGCCUCACAUGCCCCAUGUAA
rnacentral:rRNA from 1 species